rnacentral:rRNA from 1 species
UACGGAAUGUGCAAACGUUAUUCGGAAUCACUGGGCUUAAAGAGUCCGUAGGCGGCAUGUUAGGUGAGGUGUGAAAUCCCCCGGCUCAACCGAGGAAUUGCGCUUCAAACCGGCGUGCUAGAGGAAGAUAGAGGUGGGCGGAACUGAUGGUGGAGCGGUGAAAUGCGUUGAUAUCAUCAGGAACACCGGAGGCGAAGGCGGCCCACUGGGUCUUUUCUGACGCUAGGGACGAAAGCUAGGGGGAGCGAACGGG